rnacentral:rRNA from 1 species
AUUGAACGCUGGCGGCAGGCCUAACACAUGCAAGUCGAGCGGAUGAGUGGAGCUUGCUCCAUGAUUCAGCGGCGGACGGGUGAGUAAUGCCUAGGAAUCUGCCUGGUAGUGGGGGACAACGUUUCGAAAGGAACGCUAAUACCGCAUACGUCCUACGGGAGAAAGUGGGGGAUCUUCGGACCUCACGCUAUCAGAUGAGCAUAGGUCGGAUUAGCUAGUUGGUGAGGUAAAGGCUCACCAAGGCGACGAUCCGUAACUGGUCUGAGAGGAUGAUCAGUCACACUGGAACUGAGACACGGUCCAGACUCCUACGGGAGGCAGCAGUGGGGAAUAUUGGACAAUGGGCGAAAGCCUGAUCCAGCCAUGCCGCGUGUGUGAAGAAGAUCUUCGGAUUGUAAAGCACUUUAAGUUGGGAGGAAGGGCAGUAAGUUAAUACCUUGCUGUUUUGACGUUACCAACAGAAUAAGCACCGGCUAACUUCGUGCCAGCCGCCGCCGUAAGAC